AUUUGGGGUUACUGGGAUGAACUGGGAAUGGAUUUUCCCUUACUGGUUUAUACUGGUUUGGGGUUUUCCCUUACUGGUUUGUACUGGUUUGGGGUUUUCCCUUACUGGUUUGGGGUUUUCCCUUACUGGUUUGGGGUUUUCCCUUACUGGUUUGUACUGGUUUAUACUGGUCUAUACUGGUUCAAACUGGUCUGUACUGGUCCAUACUGGUUUAUACUGGUCUGUACUGGUCUCUCACCAGCAGCUCUCGGCUCUCGUCGAUUCUCCGGCGCUGCCCCCGCCAGGGGGGGGGAGGGGCGCCCGUCUGGGGAGGGGGAGAGACCCCAAAAGUCCCAAAAUUUACCCCAAAAUGUCAAAACUUCCCCCCAAAAAAUUUAUCCCCAAAAUUCUCAAAUUUCCCCCCAAAAAUUCCCUUUUUUCUCCCAAAAUUCCCAUUUUCUAAAAAAUUCCAAUUUUUUUCUCAAACUUCCCAUUUUUAUUCCCAAACUCCGCAUUUUAUUCCCAAAAUUCCAAUUUUUCUCCUAAAUUUCCCAUUUUCCCAAAAAAAUUCACCCAAAAUUCCCAAAUUUCUUGCAAAAAUUCCCCAAUUUUUCCCCCCGAAAAUUCCCAUUUUUUCCUCCUAAAAUUUCUGGUUUUAUUCCCAAAAUUCCUUUUUUCGAUUCCCAAAAUUCCCCUUUUGUCUCCCAAAAUUCCCAUUUCCCCCCCCCCCCAAAUUCCCAUUUUUCCCAAAAUUCCCAUUUUUAUUCCCCAAAUUCCAAUUUUUGUCCCAAAUUUCCCAUUUUCCCCCAAAAAAUUCCCCCAAAAUUUCCCCAAAAUUCCCAAAUUCCCCCAAAAU
rnacentral:lncRNA from 1 species